AACCUGCUAGACAGAACGACCCGCGAACCGGUGAAAAUUCAUUCGGGAGACGGCCCCCCCCGGGGGCUUUCUCCCGGAGUCCUCAGCCAAGGCGGCGUUUGAAAUUCGCUUUCUUGGCUAAGGGCGAAACAAACCAACCCGGGCGCGAGUUGCGCCAAGGAAAACAAAGAAGGAGGAUGAGCUCCCCUCGUCCCGGAAACGGUGCGUUGGGGGCCACAUCGUCGUUAUCUAGUACAAAACGACUCUCGGCAACGGAUAUCUCGGCUCUCGCAUCGAUGAAGAACGUAGCGAAAUGCGAUACUUGGUGUGAAUUGCAGAAUCCCGCGAACCAUCGAGUUUUUGAACGCAAGUUGCGCCCAAAGCCGUCAGGCUGAGGGCACGCCUGCCUGGGUGUCACGAAAAGUCGCAAACAUCCCUCCCUAGCGAGGCGAGGGAUGGCGGAUGUUGGCCUCCCGUGCGCCCUCACGCGCGCGGUUGGCCCAAAAAUAAGGUCCCCGCGAGGCGGCCACGGCACAAGGUGGAUGGUUGAAAGCACGAGCUCUCCUCGAACACCGCCGUGGGCUAGCCUCUUUUAUUUUCACGGGGAGCCAGAGACCCCGACGCGGAGCGUCAUCACGAAGCGACCCCAGGUCAGGCGGGGACACCCGCUGAGUUUAAG
rnacentral:rRNA from 1 species